ACGAGUUUUAAGUUGUUAGGUAGAGUUAGAGUUUAGCUGGUUAAUCUAAUUAAUAUGUGCUUACUCUAAUCGAAACAGGUCCACUCAUCUACUAACACUUGUGAACUGAUUCAUUAGCAAACAUUAUUAUUUGUUAUCUGGAUACGUUUGAUUAUUAAAAAGCUUAAUUAUA
rnacentral:misc_RNA from 1 species